GAGCCAUUACAUUAAGCUACAGUGGUUCUGGUGACUAUAGUGUUCCUUUAAGAAUUUUAUUUUUGUUGUUGAGAAAAAAACUGGCUCCCAACUUUUUUAGCUGGCUUCUAUAUCUAAAGCAAAUUUGUCAAGAACUGUACUAGAAUACUUAUAUUCCCAUGUCUAUGACUUUGCAUAGCUUAGUAUCUCUCUCAAUAGUAAAUCUAGACAUGUUAUGCUUAGCCUGUACUCUACACUACAUUGAAAAAUUGUGCCAUAUACUCUAAUGCCUCGUAACUUUAAUGCUUUGUCAUUCACUGUCUUGCAAAUGCUGGUAGGCAUUGUAACAUUUUCUGUUAAUCGUAUGCACACAAAAAUAAAGAAUUAAAAAAAAAUUAUUACAGUAAAAGCAACAAAAAAAGUGCAAUUGCAUGCUUGCAUUAAAAGUAGCAGGUGAGGAGUUAUGAUUAUCUCCUGAACUUGUACUAAAAAGCAUUAAUGCAAGAGAACAG